rnacentral:rRNA from 1 species
AGCGAACGCUGGCGGCAGGCUUAACACAUGCAAGUCGAGCGGGCAUCUUCGGAUGUCAGCGGCAGACGGGUGCGUAACACGUGGGAACGUACCCUUCGGUUCGGAACAACUCUGGGAAACUGGAGCUAAUACCGGAUACGCCCUUAUGGGGAAAGGUUUACUGCCGAAGGAUCGGCCCGCGUCUGAUUCGCUUGUUGGUGGGGUAACGGCCUACCAAGGCGACGAUCAGUAGCUGGUCUGAGAGGAUGAUCAGCCACACUGGGACUGAGACACGGCCCAGACUCCUACGGGAGGCAGCGGUGGGGAAUAUUGGACAAUGGGCGCAAGCCUGAUCCAGCCAUGCCGCGUAAGUGAUGAAGGCCUUAGGGUUGUAAAGCUCUUUUGUCCGGGACGAUAAUGACGGUACCGAAAGAAUAAGCCCCGGCUAACUUCGUG